rnacentral:rRNA from 1 species
AGCAGCCGCGGUAAUUCCAGCUCCAAUAGCGUAUAUUAAAGUUGUUGCAGUUAAAAAGCUCGUAGUUGAAUUUCGGGAUUGGCGCAUCGGUCGUGCCUCACGGGGUAUGAACUGGUGCAGUCAAUUUCUCACCUUCUGGAGAACCGCGAUGUCCUUAAUUGGAUGCCGUGGGGAACCAGGACCUUUACUUUAGAAAAAUUAGAGUGUUUAAAGCAGGCAUUUUUGCUUGAAUACAUUAGCAUGGAAUAAUAAAAUAGGACGGCAUGGUUCUAUUUUGUUGGUUUCUAGGACCACCGUAAUGAUUAAUAGGGAUAGUUGGGGGCAUUAGUAUUCAAUUGUCAGAGGUGAAAUUCUUGGAUUUAUUGAAGACUAACUACUGCGAAAGCAUUUGCCAAGGAUGUUUUCAUUAAUCAAGAACGAAAGUUAGGGGAUCGAAGACGAUCAGAUACCGUCGUAGUCUUAACCAUAAACUAUGCCGACUAGGAAUCAGACGAUGUUAAUUUUUAAUGUACUCGUUUGG